GGACGAACGCUGGCGGCGUGCCUAAUACAUGCAAGUCGUAACGGUCGUUUCUAUGGAAGCUGCUCCGCUGAGAAGAGUAGUGGCGAACGGGUGAGUAACACGUGGGUAACCUGCCCAUAAGAGGGGGAUAACAUCCGGAAACGGGUGCUAAUACCGCAUAGUUUUCUUGAUCGCAUGAUUGAGAAAGGAAAGACGGCCUUUGUGCUGUCGCUUAUGGAUGGACCCGCGGCGUAUUAGUUAGUUGGUGAGGUAACGGCUCACCAAGACGAUGAUACGUAGCCGACCUGAGAGGGUGAUCGGCCACAUUGGGACUGAGACACGGCCCAAACUCCUACGGGAGGCAGCAGUAGGGAAUCUUCCGCAAUGGACGAAAGUCUGACGGAGCAACGCCGCGUGAGUGAAAGAAGGUUUUCGGAUCGUAAAACUCUGUUGUCAGAGAAGAACAAGUUGGAGAGUAACUGCUCCAGCCUUGACGGUAUCUGACCAGAAAGCCACGGCUAACUACGUGCCAGCCGCCGC
rnacentral:rRNA from 1 species